rnacentral:rRNA from 1 species
GACGAACGAGGGAGGAGGGAGGAACACAGGCAAGUCGAACGGAAAGGCCCUGCUUUUGUGGGGUGCUCGAGUGGCGAACGGGUGAGUAACACGUGAGUAACCUGCCCUUGACUUUGGGAUAACUUCAGGAAACUGGGGCUAAUACCGGAUAGGAGCUCCUGCUGCAUGGUGGGGGUUGGAAAGUUUCGGCGGUUGGGGAUGGACUCGCGGCUUAUCAGCUUGUUGGUGGGGUAGUGGCUUACCAAGGCUUUGACGGGUAGCCGGCCUGAGAGGGUGACCGGCCACAUUGGGACUGAGAUACGGCCCAGACUCCUACGGGAGGCAGCAGUGGGGAAUAUUGCACAAUGGGCGGAAGCCUGAUGCAGCAACGCCGCGUGCGGGAUGACGGCCUUCGGGUUGUAAACCGCUUUCGCCUGUGACGAAGCGUGAGUGACGGUAAUGGGUAAAGAAGCACCGGCUAACUACGUG